rnacentral:rRNA from 1 species
CAGCAGUCGCCGCGGAAAUACGGAGGGUGCAAGCGUUAAUCGGAAUUACUGGGCGUAAAGCGCACGCAGGCGGUCUGUCAAGUCAGAUGUGAAAUCCCCGGGCUUAACCUGGGAACUGCAUUUGAAACUGGCAGGCUAGAGUCUUGUAGAGGGGGGUAGAAUUCCAGGUGUAGCGGUGAAAUGCGUAGAGAUCUGGAGGAAUACCGGUGGCGAAGGCGGCCCCCUGGACAAAGACUGACGCUCAGGUGCGAAAGCGUGGGGAGCAAACAGGAUUAGAUACCUCAGUAGUCCCUGUCUCUUAUAC